AUGGCAGGCAAGGCAUCCAUCGCGCUGUUCCUCGCCGUGAACCUGGUCGUGUUCUCCGUGGCCAGCGCGUGCGGGGGAAACUGCCCGACCCCGUCCACGCCCACCCCAUCGACGCCCACCCCGACCCCGGGCUCGCUCGGCAGGUGCCCACGCGACGCGCUGAAGGUGGGCGCGUGUGUCAACGCGCUGAACCUGGUCAAGGUCCAGGUGGGCAGGCCGACCGCGUUGCCGUGCUGCCCGCUGCUGGAUGGGCUCGUCGACCUGGAGGCGGCCCUGUGCCUCUGCACAGUGAUCAACGCCAACGUCCUCAACAUCGUCAAGCUCAACCUCCCCAUCAACCUCAGCCUCAUCCUCAACCACUGCGGCAAGAAAGCGCCCACCGGGUUCAUGUGCUAA
rnacentral:rRNA from 1 species